AUUGAACGCUGGCGGCAGGCCUAACACAUGCAAGUCGAGCGAUCGGCGGACGGGUGAGUAAUGUAUGGGGACUGCCCGAUAGAGGGGGAUAACUACUGGAAACGGUAACUAAUCCCGCAUACUAUCGGAUAACCCAUAUGGUAUUAGCUAGUAGGUGAGUAAAUGGCUCACCUAGGCGACGCUCCCUAGCUGGUCUGAGAGGAUGAUCAGCCAGACUGGGACGGAGACAGGGCCCAGAUGCCUACGGAGGAAGAAGUGGGGAAUAGUGGACAAUGGGCGAAAGCCGGAUGCAGCCAGGCGGCGUGUAUGAAGAAGGCCCUAGGGUUGUAAAGUACUUUCAGUCGGGAGGCGUUACCGACAGAAGAAGCACCGGCUAACUCCGUGCCAGCAGCCGCGGUAAUUC
rnacentral:rRNA from 1 species